GAUGAACGCUGGCUACAGGCUUAACACAUGCAAGUCGAGGGGAAACGACGGGGAAGCUUGCUUCCCCGGGCGUCGACCGGCGCACGGGUGAGUAACGCGUAUCCAACCUGCCUCUGACUGAGGGAUAACCCGUCGAAAGUCGGCCUAAUACCUCAUGGCAUCGUCUGCGGGCAUCCAACGACGAUUAAAGAUUUCAUCGGUCAGAGAUGGGGAUGCGUCUGAUUAGCUUGUUGGCGGGGUAACGGCCCACCAAGGCGACGAUCAGUAGGGGUUCUGAGAGGAAGGUCCCCCACAUUGGAACUGAGACACGGUCCAAACUCCUACGGGAGGCAGCAGUGAGGAAUAUUGGUCAAUGGGCGAGAGCCUGAACCAGCCAAGUAGCGUGCAGGAUGACGGCCCUAUGGGUUGUAAACUGCUUUUAUGCGGGGAUAAAGUGAGGGACGUGUCCUUCAUCGCAGGUACCGCAUGAAUAAGGACCGGCUAAUUCCGU
rnacentral:rRNA from 1 species